UCAGUAUGCAACAUGGAAGUGGGCUCUCACCAGAACUCAGCCAUGUGGACAGACCGAUCUCAGGCUUCCAGCCUCCAAAACUGGAGAUGCUGUUUUAUAUGUUCUACUUCAAGAGGAGAGGACUUUUAUUUUAGAUGUCAUGGGUUGAGCAGUGCAUACGUGAGCCUGCUGAACCCUGAGGGGGUUGUGUUCACUGUAGUGGAGAUUCAGUACUGCCAAGAUCAGCAAAGGACCAGAAGUUGAUGUCCUAUCGUGAGCAGGUCUACAGAGCAGGCACAUC